rnacentral:lncRNA from 1 species
UUGUUUGACAAAAUUAUCAAGACAUAACAGGACGCUUGUCAUCAACUGUGAUCUCACAAUGAAAACAUCUGACUAUUACUCUACUGCUAUUGUGAUUAGGGCAAUGAAAUCCACAAGCACUUAAAUGCUUUUGUUUAGCUAUCAGAUUUUAAAUGUAACACUACUCUUUUAAAGUCAAAACAUGCCAAAAAAUCUCGACUCGAAAAAGUGAGGAAAAUCUUAACACUUGGAAAGUGAGACGUAGAUCCUGUUAAUUUUUUCUGCACGCUUUGCAAACAUGAUUUGCAUUUUGCAUGAUAAAUGUUCAGAGUUAUCCACUUGUAGACAUUUAAUGUAGGCGCUAAAUGUUCAUUUUAUAAUGCACAUGAUUUGAAUUUUAAGUUCUGCACUCAUAGUUGAGAAUAACUUCAUUUUGUGAUGUUACAUAUCUGAAAUUUAAAAAGAAAUGAAGUUAUCGAAUGAAAGCAAACACUGAUUAUUUGUCUUGUUGAAGUUUAAUGAGGGAUAAACAGCAAUCCCAUCCAGCUUUACACAUUACCCUUCAUUCAACAAGACUUACCAGAAACAAAUCCUCUGAUGAUUUACAGCAGCGGCUCCUGUUAUGCCAGGCGAACAAUCCUGCGGUACGUUUUUCACUAGCAGAGUUUGUGCUCUUGUCCCAGCGUCAGAAUACGAGAGGACACCUGCCUAAAAUGACUGAGGCUCAGCUGGGAACCGCUUUGAUCUGUGUGACAGUUUGACUGCCUCGAUGGGAGUGGCACUGAUAAUCCCUUUGCUUAACUCGUGCUUUUUGGCCCAGCCGGGGUCCUGUCCAGGGAUAAAGCAGUGGGCUAAGUCUUAAUCAAACAGCAGGGUCGGUGGCUGCAUGAAGGGAAGGGUCUUUGAGGGUUAGAGUGCGGAAGGGCACAUUUAGGACAGGGAUGAAUACACACAAAUGGAGGAUUAGAGUGUUUUGCCUACUUGCAAAUAGGUGAGCUUUAGCAGGCAGUUGGAGAAGAGUUGAAAGAAAAAGUCAUUGAGUCUAGAAAAGCUGGGUGUUGUUCUCUCUCAAACAGACCGGAGCUCUCAAAGCCUCUUUAAAAACAACUCCGCAUGUGCCUCAAAUGCUGCAAUGAAACCAGGAUGUUAGUGAAAAAGUCCAAAACAGAAGUGAAGUUCUUUUGGGGGUAUACAGACUAGUAACUUGACAGGUAGAGCAACAAAAACAGCAUGGCAGGGGUGAAGGAGGGGUGGGACUAUAAUAUCAUUUUGACUCAUGUGGUACAGUUUUAGCAACAGGUCCAAAAUAUCAAUGUCUAGAUUUAAAACUCGUAAGGCCGCCUUUCAGUGAUCCUCAUAACAUUAAUCUUGUUUAUGUUAAUGUUUCAUUAUAAUUGUGUCGCAGUUUAUCAGUUAUAAUCCUUGUAUCGACAUAGUGAUAUCAUUGGGCAUAUGCGGAAUAUCGAACCAGUCCAUACUGUACCAUUCCAGUUCAUCGUGUGCCUGUUAAGUGCCAUUUGGAUCAGUGCAUUAUAUUGUAUCGCAUCGUAUCAUUUUAUAUAGUAUCUUUUUAAAUCUUAUUGCAUUUUGUGUCUAUUGAUAGACUGUAUCAUACUGUAUUGGACAGGACCUCAAGGCAAGGCUAGCUUUUUAAUACAGAAACUUUUGGCAGAAGUACCAAACCAUAUCAUUUUGUGUGGUUGAUAGUUACUUAUUCCCUUAUUUUUUAAGUCAAGUUUUGUUCUGUUUGAAACUGUUUUAUUCCACAUUGUUUCACUUCAUUUCCAUUCGCGUCCAUCACAUCUAAUGAUACCUGAUCAUAACAUACAUAUGAAAUAUAUUCUAUUGCGUCAGAUUUUAUCAUAUAGUAUUGUAACAUGACAUAUCUUAUUGUAUGCCAUUGAACUGCACCAUGUUGCAUCAUACCAAAUUGCAUGAUAUUACAUUUUAUAUCGUAUCAUAUCAUAUCGUAACCUAUUCAUCCAUCUGCACUCUGGUUGUUUGACAUGAAAGCAAAGAAGAUGAAUAUGAAUAUGUGGAAGUAGUAAUAAGGUAGAAUCAAAUAACGUAGAUGAGAAAUUAUAUAAGAAUAAAAAAUUCAAAACUCAUCAGUAAUCACUAUACAGGAUUCUUUAUUCAUCUACAGCACGUUAGAUUUCACCAAAACACCAAAACUCUUAAACCACUGAAUUCAGCUGAUUUGAGAACAUCUGUUGUCUGAGUUUAAUUAUCUUCUAAGUCUUUCUUGUAAAACAAACAGUGCACCCAGCAUGCUUUGCCGUUUCAGCCUGGUCCUGGCCAUUAUUGCCUUUAGCUAUCUGACUCUAGCCACAGCCCAAAGAUACACACAUCAAAAGAAAGUGUCAGCAGUGUCAGGUAUGUGAUUCCUGUUUAACAGUGGGGGCAUGCAGAGCUCAGCAUGGGUGAACUGUAGCACAGAGACCUGAUGACCUCUUGGCUGUUAUCACCUGAUCUGCUUCUCAUUGUUCCUUAAAGAGAGGCCAAACACCGGCAGAGAUGAGCAUGUUUGUCUGCAGUUGUUAGAUCACAGGACUCGGGAUUACAGAUCUUAAUGGACUGUUGAUUGAAAGCAUGAGAGCACAAAACACUGAGCAAUAUGGCUGCAGAUGGAAAUCCUCUCAUCUGGAGAAUGAGUUUUACUUUUAGUGACAACUAAAAAUGUCUUUUUUAAUCCAAAAUCAAAGCCUCUUGGUGUUACAUACAAAAUUAAAGAUGAAUGACUCGUAGAUUAUAAUUAUCACAGCUCUUUGUAACAGCUUUAAAAAACUAGUUAGCAUACAUAUACAAAGAGCGGCCAUCAUAGUGUGUUUACAGGUGCAAAAAAAACUGGCUGUAAAUUCCCAGCCAGGACAGACAAACCAUCAUCCCUGUAGAAAUGAGAGAGACAACUCAUUUAGAAUUAUAAACCCUUUUCUCUGUUUGUCACUUCUAUUGAUUUUUCUUCUGCCCCCGUCUCUCAUAGUUUAUAUCUUGCUAUAAGAUAUACUCCUGAAGAGGAUUUAUUGCAGCUAUAGGCCUUGCCCGCCAGGUCUGCCAUUACCAACAGAUGAAAGGCGAGGGGGGGGCGGUUCAAAGGAGGGAGGCAGGGGGCAGUACAGCAGUGCAGUAUUGGAUAUUGUUUAAAUACCGUAAAAAGAGCCUGCUCAUUUACCCGGUCAGAGGUUUGAGAAGCAGACUGUUGUGAUAAUCCUGUGAGUAGCAGGUGGCGAUGCUUUAAUGUGGGUGUAAAAACAAAAUUGCACUUUUUCCAUUUUCAUUCCAGUCGUUAUAAUCUCUAAAUGAGACGAUCGAUCGCCUGUUGGCAAGAAAAUAGUUCCACUGUUUUUUAUUCAAAGUGGACCUGAGGAGAGGAUGAUGGUGUACUUGCAGGAAAGAGGAAAAAAAUAAGCCAUAUUGUCUUUUUUUUGUUUUUGUUACUCUCUAUCUCCUGUUUUUUUUUUUUUCCCUCUCCGACUGGCCUGUCAGGUGUGAGGAAGAGGAGGAGGAGGAGGAGGAGGAGGAAGCAGGCCUUUUUUCUUCUUCCCCCACCACUUCCGAAUUACCUGCUGGGUCCGAGCUCUUUUAUGCUCUUGUUGUGACAGGUAGAUUUAUAAGGCUUGAAAUUUGUACAAAUCAGUUGUCAUUCAGCGGCAGCUGUCAAUGUGUCAAGCUGUCAGGGCCUGCUGUGAGGGAGAUGCCUUAGGGGGCUGAGCGAGGGGGCAACCGCCCAGAAAAGAAAAUGAGUUCAAACAGACCUGAGAAGCUCCUCUAUUCCACCGGCCUCCCUGCCCCUGUGGAGACACCAUCGAUUUCUCUUGAUGUUGAGCAACAGCGCGCCCAAAAAUGACACGCCACACCGCGCUCAACCCAGUCGGGCUGCGACACGCCAACGCGUGCUGUGCCAAUCCUCUCAAUCUGCAGAUGCUUCUCAUUCUCCACUAAAUGGCUAGAAAUGUGUGAUCUCUCAGAGGAGGGAGAACACCAGAGUCGUGUUUAGAGCUUGUUGGCGAUGGCUGUCGUGUUUUUCAUGUGCCGCUUAAGUAGCUGAAAUGAAAAUCUCUCUAAGGAGAAUGACAAGCGUGUUUAAAGAUUGCUGUCGAUUGUUGUCUUGUUUGCUUGUUUUCUCUGGCCUUGUCUCAGCGUGGGCCUGCCUGUCUGUGAUUGGCGGGCCUGCUGGGGCAGUGAUGGGCAUGACAGCCUCUCUCAGUCAGAGGACCCCAGGUGACACACACCUUCUCUAUCCUCUUUCCUUGCACGCGGACUUCACAGAGGAAUGGGAGAGACAGGUGCUGCAACCAGUGUGAGGUGUGUGGAAACAAAAGACAACAGCUGACAGAGAAGCUGUGCCAUCCGGCGCCGAACACGCCGAGGUGUGGGAUGACACAAAUAUGCUCAUAUUUCUCUCAUGCACAUGUCAUUGCCGUGUUAUUGGUGCUGUUGUCACAUUCAGUCUGUGGCAGCAGAUGGGGGAGGGCUGGUUGGUAUUGAUAACACAUUAUUAUCACAUGUGGCUCGUCUGUUCUUUCAGCUUUAUAAUCAUUACAUUAUGAUUAAAAGUAGCUGUGUGAAAAAUCUAACAGAAAUUAGAUGCAAAGAAAUAUCCAUAGAAAUAAUUUGGAUUCUUUAUGUAAUAUUGAUUUAAAGUUCUUGAGAUGACUCGCUCCAUGUGUUUGUUUUUAAAACCAUAUUUUUUUAACUCUAAGUUCGAGCGAAGCCGUUGUUUGCACUGACUGUAUCUGUCACAACUGUUAUCAGCUUUUUCCAAGUUGUGAAACAGUACAUGAUGUUGAUAUCCAAGAUUUUUGCCACCUCUCCCCUCUAAUUAAAUGACAACAACAGUGAAACAAGCUCUCCGUGGAUCUGAUCCGUCCGCAUCCAGGUGUGUUGGCCAAGUUUGUUUUCACACCUUCAUGCCUGUGUUUGUUAUGUAUCGCAGCCAAACCCUCCUCCCCCUGAGACAAACCGAGUAUGGCCUGUAACAGAGUCAAAGGUUGGACCAACUGGAGGCUAAGAAUGAACACGGGGGAAGUGAUUUGAAUUCUGCUCCAGAGCUUGUUAAUUUGAAAGCUGAGGUCUCAAUUCCUUGACAUAGCAUGCUGCUGCUAUGCUAACCUGGCUGCGGUCCAAACCCUCCGCCUAAACAUGUGUGCACACAGGCACGGACGUGGACAUGCAUCAGGCCUGCAUGGCUACACUGUAAUUACCCUGAUGAGGUUUUUGGGGAGGGGAGUGUGGGGGGGGUCCUUCUUCCAGAUUGAUCAUCUCCACCUGGCAACACAGGGUCCCUGAAAGAAAGAGGUUUCAUGGGACACUCUUUGGAAGGUGACACUCGCUCAGCAGCUCUGCAACAAGGGGUGAAAUAUUAAUCAAAGUUUUCCAUGCAGCUAUUAACAGCUGCUGGCCUUGGCCUCCGUGCGUGUCUGUCCAUGUAUGCAUGCAUGUGUGUGUGUUUAUUAUGUGGCAAUGAGCAGCAAGUUAGUCCGCAGAGAGAUGAGUGUGACGCGUCUGAGUUUGUCUUGUAAAAAUGCAGCUGUCCAGGACAUGACAGCUACAGCGUUAGAGGGGCCAUUAUGGGGUGUAGAACAUUUCCUGGGAAAUGGCUUGAAAAAUGACAAUGCAGCCUGUGCAAUAUUAAUUGCUACACAGUCCCCAUAAAUAAGUCAAAAAGCUUUAAGAGAGGAACAAAGUGGAACAGUGCUGGUUAUCCAUUGAUCAUAAAACAAGGGAACAACGUUAAAUCUUAUGCACCAUUAUUUUUAUGAUGUUCUUUUCUUAGUAAUUAGAUUUUAGAUGCAGUUUUAUGUUCGGGCUGUGGCAUUAUAAUUCAUCCUCCCUCCCGUGGGUUAUUGUUUUUUAUUAUGAAAAGCGGUGACUGUUGGAGGAUUUUAGUAACACAUUGACACAAGUCGCUGAAUGACUCCUUUUGUCCUCUUCAACCUUUUGUGACUCUUACUUGUUAAAUGUGGGAUAUUUGUGCUUCAAAGGGGCCCGCCUUUGGUUUGCAAAUGAAAUCUGGGAUGAGAUCAGGACUUCCAUUUAGUUGCAAAUCAACAGCUCAUUGUUGGGAAGCUGUCGGCGCAUGUUUGUUGCGAAAUGUUUUCACGUAAUGAAUAGCUAACACGUGUCGUCAGUCAACAAGGAAAGGCUAGUUAAAGGACCCUAUGAUGGUUCUUUAUUUGUGAUCACAAACCUGAGAUCAUAAAACACUACAAUGAAGGUAAUAAAGGGAGUCAUGCAACUGGAGUUUAUAUGUCUGUCUUUGCAGUUAAAACGUGAAAGUUGGUUCAGUAACCUUAAGACUUCAUUUUAUUCCAUUACUUUUUAUUAGUCUUAUUAGAUGCUUAGAACACAAACAAAACUUUCCUGUUGCUUUGGGAUCCAAGAGAUGAAUGUAAACACACGUUUAAUAAAGCGGUCUUAGAUAGGUUAAUGUGCCUCUUUCUGAAUUAAAGUUAAAAUGAAUAAGAAGAACUGCAGCAGCUGAACAGGUUAUUGUUUUCACGUCUUGUUCCUCGGUGAGCUUUUGUCUGAUUCAGUAAGGGGCAUAUGUUGUUUAAUAGGAAAUUAAUUCUCACCCCCGCCGCCGCCUCUCCCCCUCGGUAAAUCAGGCAUGUAAACCAAAAACCUGAACACGGUGACUAAUUAGAAUCAAAAGGGCCGGAAUCCAUAAUGGCCCUCCUUCACUCAAAACACUACUCUAUAAUUGGCCAUAAAUAAACCCUUGCUGUUUUUGUGUGAGCUGUAAACAGCUGAAUGCUUCAAUUAAGCAGAAAUACACCCGCGCCAUGUUAAAUGCAGGGCGCUGGGGAGCCGCUGACAUAUGGAUAUGAUCUGUGCUCUCCCCCCCUCUGCUCCAAUUCAAGCCUUUUUUUUUUUAGCAUGCGUGAGAAGCACAGAUAAUUUCGUUUUUGCCGGUGUAAUAUUAUAGUGAGUCAUAAAUAGAUGGUUACCCUUUCGGUACUAAAAGUUUUCAUUAAACACGCCUGGAUUUUGUUAUUGACACCGCGGGUUGCCUAUGCAGGGAAACACAGUAAAAUUUAUCAGUGCGCUUUUCCUCACCUAAUAAAUCAUCCAAACAGGGCCGACCAUAUGGCAGAUAAGACCUUGGAAAUGUGGCUUCGGCAUGCGAAGAGUCAAGUUGCUUGAAAUCAGGAACGAUCACGGACUCCUCUCUCCCCCCUCUCUCUCCCUCUCCCUCUCUUUCUCUCUUCCUCUCUCACAGAAUAUCUCCCAGUUAUUUUACACGCCAUUUUCUUGUUCACCUUAUCACCUCUUUGUCACUUGUUUUUUUCACUUUCCCCCAAGAAGAAAGAGAGAGGCAAUUCCUGUGUGUAAAGGAGUGGGAGUAGAUAACUCUCUCUCCUCUUCCUCCUUCUCUCUGUCUCUCCCCCUCUUACUCUCACUUCCACCCCUCCUCCUCCUCCUCCUCCUCCUCUUUUUUCUCCUUCUCCUCUCUCCCCCCCUUCUGCCGAGAGGGUCCUGGGAGGUGCACUGACUGAUGGGAGAGGAUGAUAUAUGUAGCGUCUGUGUCCCGGCUCUCCUCUGGCCCUUUGUCAUUAAUCAUAGCCAUUAGCUUUUCUCACUGCAGCCUUGUCUGUGCACUGCAAUGAAAAAGCAGCCUUUUCUCCCGUAUCCCACACCAAGAGAGCGCGCUAAUACCUCUACCUCACUGUCACGCAGCUGCAUUUUCAGCUCGCGACAAACAGACAACUAUUGUAAUGUGGAGAAUGGAUAUCGUAUCCAAAAUGUGAUUCUUCACCUAGCGGGACAGGGGGGGAAUAUGGGAGGACAUAUUGAGUGGCUGUUAGGUAGAAUUGAUCUUCAAUAUUGAUUCUUGCAGAUAUACUUUCUGCUUGUUGUGCUUUUUGUUCUUUCUUCCUCUGCUUUUAUCGCAGGUUUUUCUCAUAAACCGACUCUUAAAAUCUGCAAACAACGCUCUUAAAAUGUGGCUACAUCUGUUUUGGACCGGUUUGAACUGGACCACAAUGGACUUGGCUCCGUGCAAGGCUGUGGAGAGAGUGGGUUUGGACGGCGAGCGUGUGAGCUAAUGAGAAUAAACAGCUGGCCACUGUGGUGACCAUCUAGUGUAAUAGAGAUGUAUGGCCACCGGCUCCUGCACGCCUACUCCUCCAAUCCCCAAACUGUGCCUGACAGAUAUACUAAAGCCUCAUCAGUCUAGUCCCAGUCACACCAAAAAAACACAAGCACACACACUUUCCACACACACACACACACACACACUUUUCCACACGCUUCAUGCGGGGACAUUUACAUGCACACAGGCCUGAGCUAACAACUAAAACAGCACUGGUGCAGUUGCAGUCCACAUAUCCAGUUGUCCAAACGCACACACACACACACACAGAGGCACACAGCCAGCACUUUCCACAUUAGAGACUCAACCCUCUUUUUCUCAUUUCCCUAACUGUAUCAUCCAUACUGUACCUAAUGAAAUGAUUGCAAGUAGUUAUUGCUGACUUAUUAUCUAGACACACAGCUUUAUCAAAAUGCUGCAUUGAUUUAGUGGACUGUGUCGCCGGGAAAACUCCAGGGAUAUUUCAUUUGCCUGGCUACGCCAUAAUAAUGGGACCCAUCCCUGUAUGCAUUAUGCAUAGAUAGACCAUAGAUAAUUCAAACAGGAGGAACACAUGCAUUACCUCCACGCUGUAACCUCCCAGUCUCAUACUGUCUAUUAUAUUAGGUUGUGCUGUUGUUUGUUUUGUGCUGCACCGGGAUCCCAUUACGCUGAAAUGAUAAGAACCUACAGUGCAGCCGGCUACACGCGCAAAUUUGUGUCAUAGUUUUCAGCUUUGAUAAAUCCCAAACACCUUAUUCAGCAGGUAUUUGUGCUUCCUCUCAUUUGACGCUGUUUUGUCCUCACAAAGACAGAGCUAGCUCCAGGUGGCUCCGAGCCUCCCCCCAGGGUUUGCGGAGCGAGAUAAGCGUUUGUCUUUCUCAUUCUAAAGUGGCUCCUGUUAAGCUCCAUACCUGGAAGAUGACUGAUUUUGACAAUGCAAUUUACAUCUCUGUAUAAAACAAUCUCACACUGCGCCUGCCGAUUUACACCGGAUUAAACUGUUUGUCUCCGUCACGGGGUAACCACACAAUCUAUCAGGGCCCCUGUGCCUUUUCCGAUACCGCAUUCCCUCUCCCGUCCCUUGAGAGCAGGAAAUUGAUCCAGAGUGCAAAGCGGGGCCUCCCCCCUUUUUAAAAUUGCUACAACAGCUUUGCAGGACCUACAAUUAUUGAAACAUGCAGAUGUCAGUAAUUUCAAUAAAACUGAUAUGCUAGUAAUGAAAACAUCUGACUGAGGGGGCGACGGCUACACGAUUUAUGGCCGCAUUAGAGGGAAAAGGCUGAGAUGACAGUUUUGCGGCGUUGCUCGGCACUCCUGUGUUUCGCACGCAUUAAAGGCGCAGAUCAAUUAGCGUCCGGCGCUGUUAGCUUUGCCACAGACAGUCCUUUUUACGGUGACAUGAAAAAUGCAUGGGUUCCUAAGAGAGAUUUUGGAGCCAUUAGUUGUCUUCAUCCUCGCAUGUUUUCAUGUAAGUGUGCGUUUGCAGUGAUGGAUGACUUUAGAGCAGCACAAGCUCGCGUCUAUCUUUACGAUCACAGAAGAAGAAGAACUGUGAUUUUCUUUUGUGUAUUUAACUCCCGGCGCUGAUUUUAAGUAAUGACACGCUGUUUUUCAGGAUUAAACAAACUAUAAAGCCCACUUUAACACUAAUAUGUGCUUAAUUUCCUUCAUUAUGGUGCCAAUUCAGAGCAUGCAGUUGUAGUCCACCCACACAGAUCAAAUACCUUCAUGUAUCUGUUAUUGCAGUGCUAUGAUCUCAUUGUGUCUGAGUGCUGCCUCUCCAUUCCCCUCAGGUGAGUCAUUGCAGGGCCUGUCACCCCCUCCACUCCAUACGCCGAAUGUCUCAUUCUAAUUAAAUGAACAUUAAGACCCCCGCUUCCGUCUCCUGUCCCUUUCUCUUUCUCGCCCUCUCUGAUGCUAUCAGAGCCAGGAGAGCUCAAAUGUUAAAGUAAUGAAUGUGUUAGCACCAUGACAGGAGCAAGAAGAAGAAGAAGAGGAGAAGGAGGUGGAGAGGAGUCUGAUGUGUGACUGUGCAGUGCAGCCAGGUUUUCUCCUCGAGCCGCCGUGGCAGCAACAGGGCUUGGUCACAUUCGAUUUGCAUAACCUGCUAAAAAGCUAUCAGAGGCCCUGCAAUUGAUUGAAUUUCACCUCAGAGAAGUGCUAAUUAAUAACGCCGUGGAUCUGACAGGCCUUUAUUAUGUGCGUGGGACAGGAGAUGAUGUCUGUAUUAGCAGGCUCUCUGGAAGCUGUGGAGGAGAAUAUAGAAUGAUGAAUUAAUGGAACUACGUCCUGGCUCUAUCAUCAUAUCAUUAGGAGACCAUUGAUGGUUUCACACCACAGGUAGAAAUCUAUAAAAGUGUAAUGGCACUGUAAUAUUUAGGCUGCGGCUUAUAUUAUCUGCAGUAUAUCAUGGCUGCUGUAUUAGGGUCAUAUUUUCCAUGAGCGCUGAAGUGGAAGUGACCCGGGAUUUCAGGAACUGUGGCAGAGAUGUCAUACCUUAAACACAAACAUGGCGAGGUACUUACAGUAUUUUAAAUUUCUUAAAUUGUUUUAACUGCCAGACUUUUCUUCAAGCUAAUUUUACAUCCGAAUGAUCUCAUUUUUUUCCCCUUAUGGCCAUACAUGAGAAAGACUUCUCAUAAAACCAGCCUAAAAUGGAGCCAACUCACCAACCACUAGGUGGCUUUUGGGGAGGAAAGCUGACCUGUAAUCAUCAAAACAAAUUACAUCAGCAUAAGAGGAAAUGGUCGUAGAAAUGUGCCAUGAGAGUUUCAGACAGUUAUUAUUGGGUUUAGCUUGUUGUUUUGACUUGUCGUUAAAAUAAGAUCGCUCUUUUUUCAACUCAAGGUAGCGAAUUAGAUAAUGACCAAGUUAAAGUGCCAAAAUAUAACACUGUAUGUACUCCUUGAGCUAUUUUUGGAUGCUGUCCCCUAGGGGUGUCUCGAUAAGAUAUUGAUGUCAGAUAUCGGUCCUAUAUUAGCAAAAAAAAAAACCAAAUAUUGGAUUAUAUCGGCCUGUAUCUAAAAUCUCCAAUAUCAGCACUCCGAUACAAGCAUUCCAGACUCCACUUCGGCACCUCUAACUAGCAGCGCCCUGAUCCAGCAAGCUGAGCCCACAAAAUCACAACAACAGUGUGUACUAAGGUACUAACAAAGUAGCAAGGAGUAAGAGAGAUGUUGUAUAUUUUGUUUAAGUCUGAAAAAAAAAUUGCAGCUCAAUGUAAAACUUGUCAUGCACAAUUUUGUGCCAAUAUUGGAUGAAUAUUGGUAUCGGUCAAUAUUGAAGUCUACAGUAGCGGAAGUCAGAAAGUUAUAUCCGGACACUCCUACUGUCCAUGACAUAGUUUUGUUGUGAUGUUAAAAUCUAGUGAUACAGUACAAAGAGUCUAAAGGACACUUUUAAUCUUUUUACUUUCUUUAUUAUGUGUCUUAGUUACUUCAGAUUAGGACGUAAACUAGCGACUAGCAAACAUACAUCCACAAAAAGGUCAGGUUUGACGUUGUAAGAAGAAUUGACCUUAAAGUUAUUUCGGUGCCUAUAAAACAAGAAAUUACAGUGAAUGUUACACAGCCAGUAAGCCGACUGUUUAGUGAUGUUAGCCGUAUUUUUGAUGUGCUGUCUUUAUUUCUCAAACAUAAACCAAUUUGUCUCAUUAUUGUUUACUUGAAAGAGACUCAACACAUUUUAUUAUUUUCGCAUUUAGUUGGAAAAAAGAUCAAAUAACAUCACCUUUGCUAGCUGGCAUCAGAAGUGUUAGUCUAACUAGCCAUUAUAUUUUAUCAUGUCGGUAAUAUAUUGAGUCUGCUCACCUGCUGCCAUAGAAGGCUGUAGUUCAGUUGUUGAUUGCUGCAAUAAUGCUCUACUACCUGGAUGCAAACAUGCUUCAAUCACGAUGGCAACGCAAUCUACUCAGCGGGGAUAAAACAGUAUGUAGCCAUUGUCUGGGUCAACUGAGGCAAUAUGUAACUACUAACCAGACAUGACAGGUGGAUGUUAACCUGCAAGGUGGACCCAAGGCUGCGGGUGCAAGCUCCAAUAAUAGCCAAAUCCAGCAAAACCCAUUGUUUACCCACAUACUCUGACCUCAUGUUUGGGUGUGUUUCAUCCAUUUUACUGACUUUUGACAUAGAGUAGUUUUAUUUGGAUGACUGUGAUCGUUGAGGGUUUUUAAGCAUGUUUUCCUACAGUGUCUCAUACCUCUUUUACUGUCACUCAAACCCAAGGAUCAAAAGGCUCUUGUAUCAUGUUAUUGCCUUACUUACAGCGUUUCUAAUCCACAAAUAAGCACCUUUCUAUAUGUGAUGGUGAUGACAAACAGAAGACUGUCUAAGCCCAGCUUGGCAGGGGAGUUUCCCAUAGUUAAAAAGAUUUAUUUUUCCGAAUCUUGUUCUGGUUUUUGCUCUCUCUCACUUAGUAAGCUCCUCAUGGAAAAGCUCUGAUUGGUAUCUGCCAAGGGCUUUGCUCAUUUUGGCCAGAUUGCUCCCCCCGUAGCCCGGCCGAUAAUGCUCCAAAUUCACUCUCACCGACGCCAUCGCAAACUGCCAGAGCGGUACGCCGUGUUGUUGCCAACAGCAAUUACCCUGGUAGAAACAACUUAACUAUGUGUAAAUGACCAGUGCUGCUUGGUGGAUAUCAUAUUUCCUGAAUAACUUAUUAGAUUAAGAGGCUGCAUUGUGACGAGAUUGAAACCGACAGAUAAAGAAAUCAAACCCAGAUUUUGCCGCACAUCUGACCAGAAGUUGUUUCAUAACCUCAGUCGACUAAUAAGAUGAAUUCCUUUUGUUUAUACCCGUGAACUCUAUUGCAAUAAAAACAAGCCUUUAUUGUCGAACUAGAGAGUGUUUUCCUGUUAUGAAUUGCAGUUCAGUGGUGAAACAGAUACAAUAAUGUAAACAUCUCCCUUUUUAUGUCUUUUAUUAAGGCGCUAUAUAAGCACACAUAUAUUAGAUACAGCAGCACUGUGUGAAAGAAAGAUUAGAGUAUUCUGCAGAUAAAGAACCACAUUAUGUUGCUUUACUACUUAUUCAAGGUCAUACUGUAUACUAGUAGCACCGUGAUGCUUUCAUGGUCUUCAAUGCUUAUUGCUCUAAAUUAGCUCUCCUAAAUCAUAGUGGCCUUUCAGAUAGGACGCCUGAGAGUCCUGCAUGUGUUAAUGUUGUAUACGCCCCGCUCUUCUACUUGAAGCAGAAACGCGCUUCAUCACUCCAUGAAACAGGGAAAUGCCCUGUGGGUAAUGAGACUGACUGCAAUUGAGAAUAAGUUAUGGAGCUAAUAUUCUAUAUCUGCACAUAACCAGGGCUCUACAGGACGUCAUAAACACACACUUGGGUGUGUUUUCCCAAACAUCAUUCUGCCGUGCAUAUUAUUUCCCUGUCUGUCUUCACGGUGGUUUUUGUAAUUGUUGGGUGACUUGAUGGAUUGCAUUUGAUAUGUCAGCAUAGUUUCCCCUGAGGUUUCCGUUUCUUCAGGGCAGCGUAAGCCAUUCUCUAUGGUUUGUCUGUGUGUGACGUGCAUUAAUGCCCUCCUCUGAUCUGGAUCCAGGUUGUUAAGCCGUCGUGUGAAAAGUCCAAACAGCGUUGCAGGGAGUGUGUUGUCUCCUUAAAGAGAGAGCUCUGGUAUCAGGUAGGAUUUAAAUCCCA